rnacentral:rRNA from 1 species
AGAGUUUGAUCCUGGCUCAGAUUGAACGCUGGCGGCAGGCCUAACACAUGCAAGUCGAGCGCGAAAGGCCUUCGGGUUGAGUAGAGCGGCGGACGGGUGAGUAACGCGUAGGAAUCUACCUGGUAGUGGGGGACAACUUGUGGAAACGCAAGCUAAUACCGCAUACGACCUAAGGGUGAAAGUGGGGGACCUUCGGGCCUCACGCUAUCGGAUGAGCCUGCGUAGGAUUAGCUUGUUGGUGAGGUAAAGGCUCACCAAGGCGACGAUCCUUAGCUGGUCUGAGAGGAUGAUCAGCCACACUGGAACUGAGACACGGUCCAGACUCCUACGGGAGGCAGCAGUGGGGAAUAUUGCGCAAUGGGGGCAACCCUGACGCAGCCAUGCCGCGUGUGUGAAGAAGGCCUUCGGGUUGUAAAGCACUUUCAAUUGGGAAGAAAAGUUUGUCGUUAAUAGCGUCAAGCUCUGACAUUACCUUUAGAAGAAGCACCGGCUAACUCCGUGCCAGCAGCCGCGGUAAUACGGAGGGUGCGAGCGUUAAUCGGAAUUACUGGGCGUAAAGCGCGCGUAGGCGGUUUGUUAAGUCAGCUGUGAAAGCCCCGGGCUCAACCUGGGAACUGCAGUUGAUACUGGCCGACUAGAGUACGAGAGAGGGAGGUAGAAUUCCAUGUGUAGCGGUGAAAUGCGUAGAUAUAUGGAGGAAUACCGGUGGCGAAAGGCGGCCUCCUGGCUCGAUACUGACGCUGAGGUGCGAAAGCGUGGGGAUCAAACAGGAUUAGAUACCCUGGUAGUCCACGCCGUAAACGAUGUCUACUAGCCGUUGGGAGACUUGAUUUCUUAGUGGCGCAGCUAACGCAAUAAGUAGACCGCCUGGGGAGUACGGCCGCAAGGUUAAAACUCAAAUGAAUUGACGGGGGCCCGCACAAGCGGUGGAGCAUGUGGUUUAAUUCGAUGCAACGCGAAGAACCUUACCAGGUCUUG